CGCGAGCACAGAGCGUUGCCGCGGUUACCAUGGCAACGUUACGCUCUUGCGAGAGUCAACUCUAGCCCUGGAGCUACGGGCUAGAGUUCACUCUCAACACUGUGACCACCAGGGAUUCCUGGUGGUCGCAGUGGUGAGAGUGAAUUCU